UGCAAGUCCCCAUGGAUCAUACCAAUUCAAAGAUUGGAACAGAUGCACCACCAAGCAGUACUCCAAACUGGACAAUUAACAUUACAGAUGUGAGAAAAAUACUUACUAAAAGUGCACACUAGUCGGUGCUUAUAAGAAGUUCUUUUUAUUCAUAAACUGGACAUCAGUGUGAAUGUCUAAACCACUAGUUGGUGCUUAUAAGAACUGCUUUUUAUGAAUUGGGUAUCAGUGUGAAUGACUGCACUUUUGUCUUCAAAUGCCUAUAUUCGGAUAUGUGUCCCCCUUAUGUCACCAAGAUGAUGAGCACAGAAUUUUGGACUUUGUUGAAGUGACUAAGAUUCUGUCUUGCGUGAAUCUAUUAUCUGCCAGUUUAACCAGUUUUGAUUUCUUUAAAUUUUGUUUUGCAAGUGGCAAGAACCACGCCGCAUUCAAAAUUCAGUUAAUGCAAUUUGAAUAUUUCUUCUCCGUAAUCACAUUUUCUUAGUCAUUACAUGUACUUAGCUAUUCUUUUACUUUUUUUUUCUUUUUUUUUUUCAUAGGUAGGAACAGUUAAAGUCAGUAAUAUCUCACUAGCUACCUCUGAGAAGGAUAUUAAGGAAUUCUUCUCUUUUUCUGGUGAUAUCUAGUAUGUUGAAAUGCAAAGGGAAACUGAAACAUCUCAGCUUGCAUACGUUACCUUCAAGGAAUCACAGGGAGCAGAUACAGCUAUGCUUUUGACAGGAUCCACAAUUGCUGAUCUUUCAGUCUCUAUUACACGGGUUGAGAAUUACCAGCUGCCUCCUAUGCUCCUCCCCUAACCCCUGUAAGUACCACGACUGUUAAAAAUAGUACUUUAGUAUCUGUUUUUAUAAUACUGUUCUAUCUAUUCAUUCUGAAAAUUUAUAGAUAAUGCGAAUGUAAAAAAGUUGGAUGGGCUAAUGACAGGUAAAUUGGUCAUGGACCUACUCACCUGAUCCUGAGGCCCACAUUGUAGUUUUUUGGAAACCUUAGUCGCUUUACUCCUAGAAGGAUAUAAAACCAAAGAAAAUUAUCAGUGAACAAGAAAAAAUAAUAAUGAUGGUGAUAAUAACAAUAAA